CCUACGGGUGGCUGCAGUGGGGAAUAUUGGACAAUGGGGGGAACCCUGAUCCAGCCAUGCCGCGUGUGUGAAGAAGGCCCUCGGGUUGUAAAGCACUUUCAGUGAGGAAGAACGCCUGGUGGUUAAUACCCAUCAGGAAAGACAUCACUCACAGAAGAGGCACCGGCUAACUCCGUGCCAGCAGCCGCGGUAAUACGGAGGGUGCGAGCGUUAAUCGGAAUUACUGGGCGUAAAGCGCGCGUAGGUGGCUUGAUAAGCCGGUUGUGAAAGCCCCGGGCUCAACCUGGGAACGGCAUCCGGAACUGUUAAGCUAGAGUGCAGGAGAGGAAGGUAGAAUUCCCGGUGUAGCGGUGAAAUGCGUAGAGAUCGGGAGGAAUACCAGUGGCGAAGGCGGCCUUCUGGACUGACACUGACACUGAGGUGCGAAAGCGUGGGUAGCAAACAGGAUUAGAUACCCCUGUAGUC
rnacentral:rRNA from 1 species